GUACUUGCUUCAGUAGCACAUAAACUAAAAAAUGGAACAAUAGAGAGAUCACUCUGUACAAGGAUGGCACGCAAAUCUGUGAUGUGUUAACGUAUUUU
ensembl:snRNA U6 U6 spliceosomal RNA